UACGUAGGGGGCUAGCGUUGUCCGGAUUUAUUGGGCGUAAAGAGCGCGUAGGCGGCCGAGUAAGUCCGACGUGAAAUCUGGAGGCUCAACCUCCAGCGGUCGUUGGAAACUACUCGGCUAGAGUCCGGAAGAGGAGAGUGGAAUUCCUGGUGUAGCGGUGAAAUGCGCAGAUAUCAGGAGGAACACCAGUGGCGAAGGCGGCAUCCUGGACCGGUAUUGACGCUGAGGCGCGAAAGCUAGGGUAGCAAACGGG
rnacentral:rRNA from 1 species